GAGAAGAAAGAUUGUUGAAAUUUGGUUUCAAAUGGUAUAAGAACCCAAAACCAUUGCUUUGAGGCAAAGAAUGGAUUAGAUAAAGUUAUUUUGGGUUAUAAUAUGUUAUAAUACAAUGAAUUUGAUUGAUUACAAGUGCUAGAGAUGCAUGAAGAAUGUUUAGAAGUGAGAAGAAACACUUGUUGAAAUUUGGUCUCAAAUGGGAUAAGAAUCCAAAACCAUUGCUUUGAGGCAGUGAAUGGCUUGUAUAAAGUUAUUUUGGGUUAGAAUAUGUUAUAAUACAAUGAAUUUGAUUGAUUACAAGUGCUAGAGAUGCAUGAAGAAUGUUUAGAAGUGAGAAGAAAGAUUGUUGAUAUUUGGUCCCCAAUGGGAUAAGAACCUAAAACCAUUGCUUUGAGGCAGUGAAUGGCUUGUAUAAAGUUAUUUUGGGUUAGAAUAUGUUAUCCUAUAAUGAAUUUCAUUGAUUACAAGUGCUAGAGAUGCAUAAAAAUGUUUCGAAAUGAGAAGAAAGACUUGUUGAUAUUUGGUCCCAAAUGGGAUAAGAACCCAAAACCAUUGCUUUGAGGCAAUGAAUGGCUUGUAUAAAGUUAUUUUAGGUUAGAAUAUGUUAAAAUACAAUGAAUUUGAUUGAUUACAAGUGCUAGAGAUGCAUGAAGAAUGUUUAGAAGUGAGAAGAAAGACUUGUUGAAAUUUGGUCUCCAUGGGAUAAGAACCCAAAACCAUUGCUUUGAGGC
rnacentral:lncRNA from 1 species